rnacentral:rRNA from 1 species
UACGUAGGGAGCAAGCGUUGUCCGGAAUCAUUGGGCGUAAAGCGCGCGUAGGUGGCCUCAUAAGUCCGUUGUGAAAGUCAAAGGCUCAACCUUUGAAAGCCGAUGGAUACUGUGAGACUAGAGUACGGAAGAGGCGAGUGGAAUUCCUGGUGUAGCGGUGGAAUGCGCAGAUAUCAGGAGGAACACCAAUAGCGAAGGCGGGUUGCGUGGCUGAUGACUGACGCUGAGGCGCGAAAAGCCAGGGGAGCGAACGGGG